GAUGAACGCUGGCGGCGUGCCUAAUACAUGCAAGUCGAGCGAACGGACGAGAAGCUUGCUUCUCUGAUGUUAGCGGCGGACGGGUGAGUAACACGUGGAUAACCUACCUAUAAGACUGGGAUAACUUCGGGAAACCGGAGCUAAUACCGGCUAAUAUUUUGAACCGCAUGGUUCAAAAGUGAAAGACGGUCUUGCUGUCACUUAUAGAUGGAUCCGCGCUGCAUUAGCUAGUUGGUAAGGUAACGGCUUACCAAGGCAACGAUGCAUAGCCGACCUGAGAGGGUGAUCGGCCACACUGGAACUGAGACACGGUCCAGACUCCUACGGGAGGCAGCAGUAGGGAAUCUUCCGCAAUGGGCGAAAGCCUGACGGAGCAACGCCGCGUGAGUGAUGAAGGUCUUCGGAUCGUAAAACUCUGUUAUUAGGGAAGAACAUAUGUGUAAGUAACUGUGCACAUCUUGACGGUACCUAAUCAGAAAGCCACGGCUAACUACGUG
rnacentral:rRNA from 1 species